rnacentral:tRNA from 2 species
GUCCCCGUAGCCCAGGCGGCCGGCCUAAACCCGGCACCGGUGCGGGUUCGAAUCCCGCCGGGGACA